GGGUACCCUCGAGCGACGCAACACCAGAUCCCAUCUAUCGCAAAAAAAAAAAAAAAAAAACACCAGAUCCCAUCGCCGCUGCCCUCGCACUCGCAUCCCUCCGCCGCCGCCCUCGCACAUGAAGCCGCCGCCGAUCCCUGUGCUACCUCGACGGGAGCCAUCGGUCGUCUCGCUACAACUUGAAGCUGCAACUUGGGCGGUGCCAUGGCUCCUUGUGCAGAGAAAACAAGACGAGGGGGAGGUCAGGGAGGAGCAGCAGGAGGAGUGAAGGAGAAGAAGGCGGCGGAGAAGGCCCUGCUCGCCGGAGAGGUCGAUCGGCGGCGACGAACUCCGAGCCGCACGUUCUGGCGACGGAGGGCUGGAACCGGUCGAUGGGGAGACCUGUAGGCGCGCGGCGGCGGCGGUUUGGGACGGCGGCGAAGCUGCAACUCGGACGGCGCCAUGGCUUCCUAUGCAAAGAAAACGAGACGAGGGGGAGGUCAGGGAGGAGCAGCAGGAGGAGUGAAGAAAAAAGGCGGCGGAGAAGGCCCUGCUCGCCGGAGAGCUCGCCUAGCGCCGACGCUCGCUGUAGCGGGAGUAUGCUCGGGCGUACCGGCAUGAGAGCUGCAGUUGGUGGGAAUUGGCUGCGGGCAUAGGAACCGUGGAUUGAUCCCACGUACACACAGAUCAUGAGGAAAUGGGUUCAGAUAUGUGACUACUCUAUGCUGUACUAACUAUUCUAUGUUGUACUGACUAUUCUAUGCGACCACCAACAGCAAGGGUUCUCUCAGCACUGUAGCGGCUUGCUCGAAUCGUCCACCACCGACCGCCGCUGGCGCAAGCUGAAACUCACCCGGGGGAGCACUGGCUGGCGCGACAGUGGCGGCGAGGACCAGGUCAAGGCUUCGCAAUAAGCGCCGGAUCAAGCCAUGAAACAUGUUGACGGAUUAGUUUUCCACCUCAUGUUUACUUCACCAUGUAGUUGGGUGUAACGCGAGUUCUGCUCUUCUUCUAGGCUGUUGGGAGGAGCGACCCUGCCAUCACGUGGAGAACGAGCGGCUCCUGGUGCUCGACAAGGUGCCUGAGCAAGGCAUAUUAGUGGACGUGGCUCGACCCUGAACGUGCUUUCCCCAAAUUUGUUCAGUGAGCAGUGCUAUCAUAUUCUCCUUGCUCUUAUCAUGGAAAGGUUUGGAGUUUGGGUCUUUUUAGUUCUCGCGUUCGGACCAAAAUGAGUGGGGGAGUGGAGAUUGGCAUGAAUAAUUGCAAUUUUUAACACAAGGUGAGACAAUGAAGGAUUUGUUGUCAAGAUAUCAAAAGUUGCUCAUAUCAACUGGAAAUAUAGAAGUUAUAUUCAGUCAUGCAGACAUAUAGUUUUUUUUUUGCAUAUGAAAAUAGAUUGUCAACGUAUAUUAUUUGGCUCAAUAAAUUGCGUUGUGAAUCACUUCGAAUUGUUUGUAAUAAUGACCAUUUUUUCAUACAACACCUUAAUAUGUAUAGCUUAUAAGGCUUUUAGUUUGUGAAUAAUUUGUUCAAAGAGUCACACUGUAUCAUCACACAAGGCAACGAAAUAUUAAGGUGAAGACUUUGUCAUCUAUACUUGUUGAUACUCCUAUUUUUUCAAUUAUGCUUACCUUGCAUCCUUCUGUUAACAGUUUAGAAAUAUAGUUAUGUUCAUUGAUUUCUUAUACAGUUAUCCCACGUCAGUAUAGUUAUAUAGUGUUUUCUUUAAUUGCGGAUCAGGUGUCAUUCACUUUUGCAAAGAUAGGCCAGUAAGAUAUGUUUUUGGUCCCUCAAAUUCCCAAAAAGUACAGACUUGGUCCCUCAAGAUUUUUUGGUAUACAUUUGGUCCCUCAAGUCUCAAAACCGGACAAGUUUGGUCCUAAACCAGAUUUUGACCCUGUUGACCGGGUUUGACCGCCACAAAAUCGCCCAAUGAGCAGUAAAUUCAAGUUUUAAAAAGGAAAUCUAAAAAAAUCUGAAAUUUUUUAGGGUCCAAUAUGCUUACAUGCGCAACGUGCGACCAAAUUUUCGUGGUCUUUCAACACUCGAGGAGCUCGUGGCAAAAAAGACAAAAUAUCUACGUCCGAUGAACAGUAAAUUCGAAAACAAAAUCAGAAAAAUUCAAAAAAAUCUGAAACUUAUUGGGGUCUAAUAUGAUUACAUGCUCAAGGUUCGAGCAAAAUUUGGUGGCGUUUCGAGACUAAAGGAGCUCGUGGCAAAAAAAAAAUUCACUCACAAAAAAUAGCCAAAAUUUGUUUAUUUUGCUAGAGCCCGUCCUACGUCAUUUCAUGACAAAAUGUUGGUCGCAUCUUGCCCAUGUAACCAUAUUGGACCCCAAAAAAAUUUCAGAAUUUUUUUGUUUUUUUUUAUUUUGUUUGAAUUUACUAUUCAUCGGACAUAUAUUGUUGUUCUUUUUGUCACGAGCUCCUCGAUUGUCGAAAGACCAUGAAAAUUUGGUCGCACCUUAUGCAUGUAAGCAUAUUGGACCCCAAAAAAUUUCGGAAUUUUUUGAAGAUUUUUUUUAAAAAAACUCAAAUUUACUGUUCAUCGGGCGGUUUUGUGGCGGUCAAACCCGGUCAAUGGGGUCAAAAUCUGGUUUAGGACCAGACUUGUCCGGUUUUGAGACUUGAGGGACCAAAUGUAUACCAAAAAAUCUUAAGAGACCAAAUCUAUACUUUUUGGAAACUUGAGGGACCAAAAACAUACUUUUCUCUUUUUUAAACCGUGUAAGUUUUGAGUGAAACUAUACUAUCUGUUAACACAAGGAAAAGAAAGAAUGGAAUUGAUUGUAAGCAAUUCUUCUUGAGAUAGAGAUUUUCUGUGUAGUUUGCUGCAAUUGUUUAAAUCUGAAUUUCAGUUUGAGAUAUACAACCGGCAAUCUGAGGUCAAUACUGCUGCUCAGACAAUCUAGAUAUGUCAACAAAAUUUCUUUGCAAACUCGUACAGAAGCUUAAGAAUAUGCCUGCUACUUGGGGAUAUUGUGGUGUUAAAUGACCUAAAUCUCGCUUCACAUAUAUCACAAUCCGAUACGGUGUUUGACAAAACCCGAAAUUUUUUGGAACAAAAAAGGUUGUGCUAGCAAGGAAAUUCACUUCAGCUCAAGACUUGAUAAGGCAUGUGGCGACCCUAGGAGGUGUUGUUGUGCUCACUCGCAUACCAUAUAUUCAGAGUUAAAGUUGUUUGCGUACUUUCUGGUCUAAGGUAUUUUGAAUACAUCAGGUUUUUUAUGUUUGUUUGUAGCCUGAACCUUGCAGGUGGUCUCUACGCUGUAGCUAUAAUUUUUUUCUCGUGCCGACAGUGGUAACACAUGAAAGAUCCAGAAAGAUUUUGAAGCGGCGUAGAUCCAGCCGGUGCAUACUAUUGCCUUCAAAGGCCUUGAAGGAGAUCAUAUAUGUUUGGCUACUGACAUGACAAGAAUUUCAGCAAAAAGAUUUCCAAUUAUUAGACACAUGCUUUGCAGCUUGUAUUAGUACAUAUCACCAUGCAUCCAUGCCUAAGCUACUAGCGAAAUGAAGGAAACUUUUCCAUGAUUUGUGUAGACUGGAGUCCCUUUAACAUGCAUUCUCUAUUCUUGAUUUAAGAAUUUGACUAUAUGGUGUGCAUUUAAGUAGUGGAUGAAAUUAUAAUCACCGCUUGAUUCUAUGUCCAAUGCUAGAAAAAAGGUUAUUUUUCAUAUUACUGGGGAACAACUAAUUUGACUUGUUCUAUGUCUGCUCAAAUAAUCGUUUCAGUUUCAAAAUUGUCACAUAAGAAAUAAGCCAUCAAAGCACAGAAAUGCAAUCUUAGUAGCAACACUAACUUAGGGCGCAGACAUUUAGUGCUCGGGCUUGCUUGCCUUUGGUAUCGUUAGAUAGUAGAGAUGACUGACAUAUGUUAAUGCAUGUGAAUACUCAACGUUAAAGCAAGCUGUUUUGUGAAAAACAGAACUGGCGUAACCACUUAGAAAAGGAAAUUAGUUGUUCCCCACUGCUAUGAAAAAUACAGAGCUGACGUACAAGAUACAGAACUUAUUUGGAGGUAGUUAACAGAGGUGACAUUUAUUAGGGGGGUGACACUUAUGCAAGUAGCUACGGCUAUGAAUAGAUGAGCGUUGGCCAUGAUUAGCAGCACCACCAUGAGGGCAUUUGUCCUGGAAGUGUGGUCGGGGACUGGGGAUGAUUGAACACAGGUGACUGUCUUCUCAACUUGAUGUUGCUUUGAAUGCGUCCGACGCUGAUCCAAGUUGCGGCGAGCUGAUAUCCAUCAUGGCUUGGGAGGGAUUACUUGUAUUCUACCAAUUCAAAAUUAAUCUCAUGCAAUCAUUUUCUUGAUGACUAUGAGAGGUAUUCCCAUUUGCAAAUCUCCGCCUUCACAUAUGGCCUCAUGCAAGGUCCGGCCGCCAGCGGCGCGAUGUGAAAUGCGGGUGUUGGAGGUGCAGGUGGAGGGGUGGAGCGGCGAUGACGACAGCCAGAGGAAGAGCCGACCUCGUGGUCGUUCCUGCCCUUGCGGCUGGAGAUCCAGUGUGGCCGGCGGCAAGGUUGAGCUAGGGUUUGGAGAAACCGAGCGUGUCGGGCUUCAAGGAGGCAUGUGUCGCCGGGAGUGGGGAAGUGGAAGUGUGUACCCCCACCGGUCCAUGGCUUCCGCAUUAAAAAGGACGGCGACCACUCGGCCAGGGUGGCUGACAAGCGGGGCCGCCCGCGCGUGCAUCGUAAAUGUGGACGGUGGGUGGUAGGUGGGCGGCUGCCACGCGGGCCCAAGGAGGAUGCGGAGCGGGCGUGUGGGCGUCCGUUCGACGUCCGUCUGGACGCAAACCGGACGCAAAUUUGAGCCGGAAAUGGGGCGGCCCGAACGCGAAACGGACAGAAAAUGCAAUGGAUUGGUUGAAGGUCUGCGGGUCGUGCGGUCUGUCCGUUUGGGCCAAACGGGCAGACGCGGACUGGACAGGGUGGUGCGUUGGAGUUGCCAUAAUGGAUUGGUUGAAGGUAGCAUCUUCUACCGAGCUUCAAUUGAUAGGGAAGGAAUUGUGUCUGUCUGUGCCUUUGGUUUUCUUGUGCGUCGAGAGUUCGUACAGUUUAUUUUGAGGGAAAGAGAUUCUUCAUCUAGAUGAGAAAGAGCACUCUGAUUAAUUAGAUCAGAAGUUGUGUGUGAUGUUGGUUUCUCGUGACUACAAUGGCACCAACCACCAGGUGAGGUCGUGAAUGAGGCGCCGCAGGUGGACAUGAGCAAGGCUUCUUGACCUAUAAGAUCCAUGGUUGGGCAAGUUUGCUUCAUCUAAACUUUACUUAGUCUGAGAUGAUUAGGAUCCUUAAUUGCUUUAUUUAAUUUGCAUUGGUUUAUUUUUGCAGCAUCUCCUGCAAUACAGGAGCAAAAAACUUAGCACUGUUGAUCUUUUAAACUUGAAGUUACAACUGCUUAACCCGAUAAUAAUUUAGUUCUGGAGAUUGCAGAAGCCGUUUCAAUGAACAUAAACGACAGGGGCAUCCUGGGUAAAUCAGCUAGGAGCAGUCUAGAAAAAUGUGACAGUCUCACACUACAGCAGCAUGCCUAAUGCAAGACACCAGAAUAAUGAUUGGAGCGUUAAAGCCCCUUCUCUUUGGAUUUUGAUUGGUUUUUGAUUGGUUUUUGUGUAUGUCCUUUGCUCAGGCAUUUACAUGUCCGAUUUGUUUCUACUAAGUGGUAUUCAUCUUUUCCUUUAGUCUCAUCAAUUUUACAAUUUUUGUGAAAAGGCGUAUGUUUCGCUUUUCAGUUUGAUCCCCAACAAUAUAUUGUAGGGUGAAGAAGUGCUUAUGUAUAUGUUCCAACAAAAUGUGUGGCAAAAUCACUGGAAUUAUGGUGUUAUGAGCUAGAAGAUUUCGAAAGCACACCAAUAAGAAAUUACACAUAUUUAUACCUCAGACGGGGAAGCAUGUGUUUGAUCUUUGCUAUUGAGACUCAAUAUUUCCUACCAGAUGUCUAAAACAUGUAUUAUUAGAAGCAAAAUAUUUACAAGGAUUACAUGUAUGCUAUUUUUAUGGGGCUAUCUAAUGUUUGAUAUCCUGGCCUCUAAUUAUUUGUAUUCAUUGUCUGGCUCUAUGAAAAUACAAUCGUGUCGGCAAAUCAUAUUACAACAUUUGUGACAUCCAUAAGAAAUAGGCACUCCUAGCAUUGCCUUGGGAGUUGAUAUUUUGUCAUGAACAGAGAAAGGCCAAAGUUAUGUGCAAUAGUUGUCGGAGUGGUUAGUGGUUACCAUGCUGCAGAACCAAUUGAUAGAUUAUCACGUUCUUCAUUAUUGUUGGCUUAAUACUUUACUGUUGUGUUUCUAAUUAGAGGGCUGCAGUUGCACCUGAGUUGAGGGGGUGGUAAAUGGAGGAUAAUGAUUAUAAAUAGUUUAUUAUUUAGAUAUUGUAUAUGAAAAUAUCAAGUAAUUAUAAAUAUCACUUACAAUCAUUAACGACCUUACUGGAUGAUUGCUUUCAUGGACAUUAAAGAAGAAAUAUCUUAGAAGUUGAGUGCAGUUGGUGGGGCCUCAAUCCAUUUGAGCAAAGAAAAGUAGACAUGGUCUGUCCAAAAUCUUUUGAGCUAUGAAUAAUAAAUGGGGAAGGCUUAAAGUAUUUUGUGUUGCCAUGGGACGUGUGUUUUGCUGCAGUAGUACCUAAAUUCUAAACUCCAAGUGCCUAAUUUCAUAUGUAAUAAUUUGUUAGACAAUUUCGUAACGCAAUCAAGUUUUUGGUUGUAGCAUCUUGGAACAUUCAUUUUAAGAGUACAAAAUCCUCCAUGUGUUAUAUUUACUUAAUGGAUAAUAAAGGGUUCCAUGUGCUAUCUAUCAUUUGUAAUGCAGUGCACAAUAAAGAGUUCUAUGUUUUUGUGCCACCUUUUCUACUUUUUGUGCAUAUAUGCUAGAUACGUCGUCGAAUUGCGUUUCAUUCUUUAUCGAAAUACAUUGCAAGUGGAGUCAGUUUCAGUUAUUUAACCUAUGCUAAAGGUUUGCUUUUUUUUACAUGUGAAAUUUGACAUGUUUAUAUAUGCAACCGAUAUAAAUUUUAAGAAGCCCGUGGCAAAGCACGGGCAUUAUACUAGUUGUGACUAAAGGAUGUGAGCUAAAUAAACGAGAUGGGGGGACAUGACAAAUACUGAGGAUUGUGUGGGCUGUCCCAUAGUUAAGGAAGCGGAUUUGUAGGCUACCUCAAUAAUUAAGGCACAUGAUUGUGGGUUGCAUAAAGAGUAUUUAAACAAGAUUGCAUGGGAUUGCUACCUUGGACGAGGUCCGAAGAUCGAAGCUGCAUUCCUACUCCGGCUGCUCGGCCACGCAUUGCUGCUGUUGUGAGCCGUGAGACCUCAACCAUCAAUCCGCCCCGCACAACAAGAUAUGUCCCAGUGUAUGCUACCACCGCACAACAAGAGCCGUCUCAAUGUAUGUUACCACAUGAAGCCAGACUGCAGCUCAACUUGGUUCAACUCUGUUUUUUUUUUUGAGAAGUUUUGUUACUGUUGUCUAUAUGGGUUUUGUGCUGACAUGGGAUAAAUAGAAAAUGCAAAGAUCCGCGGUUCGAUGGCGAAGAGAUAAACUCAUUGAUUUUUAUGUUGUGCUAUUAGUCUGUAAUUUUUUAAUAGAAACAAAUAGUGCGUCCAUUAUGUUACCCAUCAUUUCAUCAUGGAGAUAAUCU